rnacentral:rRNA from 1 species
UACGGGGGGGCUAGCGUUACUCAUAGGGACUGGGCGUAAAGGGUCUGUAGUGGCUUUGAAAAGUUAAAAAAAAAAAAGAAAUAGGCUCAACCUUUGAUAUUUUUUUCUUAAAAAUUAAAGCUUGAGUUUAAAAGAGAACAACAGAAUUCUUAAAGGAGAAGUGGAAUUUAUUGAUAUUAAUGAAGACUACCAAUAGGUGAAGACGGUUUGUUUGGGUUAAACUGACGCUCAGGGACGAAGGCACAGGGAGCAAACAGG